AACAUUGCAGUUAAGCAGGUGCAAUUUUGAAUUUGACAAAAGAUUUUCUUGUCUUGAGUCUCUUUCUUUGAAUCAUGUCCAUAUUUCAGAUGCCCAAUUACAAAGAGUUAUCGACAGAUGCCCAUCUAUCAGGACUCUAAGGACUCGUUUGGUGUAAGGGAUAAUACCAAAUAGUCCCGGGAUUAAAUUAUAGUACCGCUUAUUUUGUUGUUUGGUUGGCAAGUUCGGGAUAACUUAUCCCGGGAUUAAUAAUUAGUACCGGGAUAAGUUAUCCCUCUCCUUGGGUGGUAUAGUAAUCCCGGGAUAACUUAUCCCGGGAUAAAAUAGGUAAAUGACAAAAAUGUCUCUUUCAACCCUUUUGUUGUAUCACUUUUUACCUUAAUGAAGGGCAUUUUUGUAAAUAAAUAAAUUGUUCUUAAAAUUUAUUAUUUUGAAUAUAACAAACCAAACACUCAAUAAAAAUAAUCCAACACAACUUAUCCCAUCAUAACUAAUCCCAACAUAACUUAUCCCAUCAUAACUCAUUUUCAAACCAAACGACCCCUAAGGUUACAGUGUUGUCAGGGUAUAAGCAAAUGUCAUAUUUUUGGCCUAGUACAUCUCAAGUAUUUCGAUGCUAGUUAUUGCAAACUCCAUAGUGUCAUAGUCCAAGCUCCAUAUCUUCAAUGCUUUAGAUAUACAGAAC
rnacentral:lncRNA from 1 species